UAGGCUACAACUGACGNUGAAGCACGAAAGCGUGGGGAUCAAACAGGAUUAGAUACCNUGNUANNCCACGCAGUAAACGAUGAUAACUAGCUGUUUGCGAUACACAGUAAGCGGCACAGCGAAAGCGUUAAGUUAUCCACCUGGGGAGUACGCCGGCAACGGUGAAACUCAAAGGAAUUGACGGGGGCCCGCACAAGCGGAGGAACAUGUGGUUUAAUUCGAUGAUACGCGAGGAACCUUACCCGGGCUUGAACGUAGGGAGACAGUUCUGGAAACAGAAUCUCUAGCAAUAGCUGCCUACGAGGUGCUGCAUGGUUGUCGUCAGCUCGUGCCGUGAGGUGUCGGCUUAAGUGCCAUAACGAGCGCAACCCUCAUCGAUAGUUACUAACAGGUUAAGCUGAGGACUCUAUCGAGACUGCCGACGUAAGUCGUGAGGAAGGUGGGGAUGACGUCAAAUCAGCACGGCCCUUACGUCCAGGGCUACACACGUGUUACAAUGGGGGGUACAAAGGGCAGCUACCUGGCGACAGGAUGCUAAUCUCAAAAACCUCUCUCAGUUCGGAUUGGAGUCUGCAACCCGACUCCAUGAAGCUGGAUUCGCUAGUAAUCGCGCAUCAGCCACGGCGCGGUGAAUACGUUCCCGGGCCUUGUACACACCGCCCGUCAAGCCAUGGGAGCCGGGGGGACCUGAAGUAUGCAACCGUAAGGAGCGUCCUAGGGUAAAACUGGUGACUGGGGCU
rnacentral:rRNA from 1 species